rnacentral:rRNA from 1 species
GAGUGAAGAGGGAAGAGCUCAUCAUUGGAAUCUGGCAGUGUUGCACUGUCCGAGUUGUAGAUGAGGAGUAGUCCGUCUGGACUGCAUGGCGUCCAAGUACAAUAGGCCGUCAGUGGGACAUCAUAGAGGGUGACAAUCCCGUCCUUGACGCUAAUGUGCAAGUCUAUUACGAUGGCUAUCUCAGAGAGUCGAGCAGUUUGGGAUUUGCUGCUUAAACAUGGGAGGUAGAUUCCUUCUAAAGCUAAAUACAGGCGAGAGACCGAUAGAGAACAAGUACCGCAAGGGAAAGAUGAAAUAGCACUCUGUGAAGGGAGUCAAAAGGCGUGAAAUUGUUGCGAGAGAAGCGAUUCAAGUCAGCGUAGCUAGGCCCAUCAAGCGUCUUCGCUUUGGACUAGCUUUGCCAGCGGUCUUGUCCCUUAAAGAGACUUGACUUGUAAUAUGUCCAGCCUGGCGUGCACAGGCAGCCCCUUCUGGGGGGCCAGUGGCAUGGCUGGUGGAAUGGCUUGCAAUCGACCCGUCUUGAAACACGGACCAAGGAGUCUAACAUGUAUGCGAGUAUAAGGGUGGCAAACCCGUAUGCGCAAUGAAAGUGAUUUUCGGUGAUUGAGAAUGGCCUGAUGACCAGACAAGCAAUACAUGUCCCUCGUACGGCCAUUGCCCAAGUUCCGUGGUAGAUCCCACGAACAUGGAGUUGGAGCAUACAUGCUAGGACCCGAAAGAUGGUGAACUAUGCCUGGACAAAGCGAAGCCAAAGGAAACUCUGGUGGAGGCUUGUAGCGAUUCUGACGUGCAAAUCGAUCGUCUGAUCUGGGUAUAGGGGCGAAAGACUA